rnacentral:rRNA from 1 species
GAUGAACGCUAGCUACAGGCUUAACACAUGCAAGUCGAGGGGCAGCGAGGGCGUAGCAAUACGCCUGUCGGCGACCGGCGCACUGGUGAGUAACACGUAUGCGACCUGCCCCCUACAGGGGUAUAACCCGUAGAAAUGCGGACUAAUCCCCCAUAGUCCUGGGUGCUGCAUGGCAUUCAGGGGAAAGGGUUUCCGGUAGGGGAUGGGCAUGCGGCGCAUUAGCUAGUUGGCGGGGCAACGGGCCCACCAAGGCGACGAUGCGUAGGGGUUCUGAGAGGAAGGUCCCCCACACUGGUACUGAGACACGGACCAGACUCCUACGGGAGGCAGCAGUGAGGAAUAUUGGUCAAUGGGCGCAGGCCUGACCAGCCAAGUCGCGUGAGGGAGGACGGUCCUACGGAUUGUAAACCUCUUUUGUCGGGGAGUAACGUGCGGGACGGGUCCCGUAUUGAGAGUACCCGAAGAAAAAGCAAUCGGCUAACUCCGUG